rnacentral:rRNA from 1 species
UUCACAGGCUGUUACGUCCAUAAUAAAAAACUGAGCAUUGAACGUCCGUAUGUCAUGGUCUACUUAAAUACAUGACAACUAUUUACCAGUUCAUCUUACUUACUGUUAAUACGGGUCGACAUAACAGUACAUUUAUGUGUGACGUUAACUCAUGAAUGAUUUAACUGGUGAGAGUGACGUCAUUACCAGCAGUUUAAAUAACGUUCUUUCCUUACAUAACAUCGAAACUGUAGACUACCAUUGGAAGUACACAUACUGACAGGCACACAGUGUUUUUAACUUUUCUGAUGUGUACAAUUUGGACAAUCACCGACAAGCCAUGAUCGACAAGUAGGUUGAAAUGGUAGUCACAACAGUCGCAGGUUAUGACCGGAUUAUCAAAAUCUGACCCUGGUCCGGACCCUCGUCUGUGUUCUUAAAGUCUGAAUAUUAUUGGGUCCCAGUCACCGUAAAUUGGGACCCCUGCUGUUUACAAAGUGCCCACCCAAAGUACUACUACCGCUUUAUUUCCAAACCUCUGAACUAAGCCUCGUGGGACUUAUAAGAAACUAACCCGUAAAACUCCCACACGCGACGGACCUAAAAUAGUCUGCUCCUCUAUUUGUGAUAAACCAGUCACCGAGAUACCUAACGUGACGGUUCUAGACCUUGAACGUCUUUUCCUUCACGUAAACAUGCGACCUUCGAUACAGAGGUCAAGCAACAGAGGAACGGGUAGGUCUACUGGAAGGUCAGGAAUAAUGUCCUUGACUUGUACCGUAGUAAGUCCACACCUCGAGGCAACUAAAGUCCGAGUUUUCUUGGUAAUUGAAUCCGCCACCACCUGGACAAUAACCAGAGCGUACAUACUACCCGAGUGUCUCCUAACACUAACCCGUUGUCUUGCGUUACAGAUGGUACCUUUAGUGAUUGCUGUUUCGUAACUCUGGCUUCUCAAAAUACGGGACCCGCGUCGAGGCGGCCUUCUUCGC